UGCGUUCUCUGUCAUCAGGAAACUUUGUUUUAAAUUUCAGGCUUUUCUAGACAGAGGGGAAGCACAGGGAGACUUUAGUUUGCUCUACUUUUUUCUGCAGGUCACAAUCGAGCUAAAAGGGAGAAAAAAAGAAGAAGAAAACUGCACCCUGGUACAAUUUCAUUUGAGCCCUGUGGUAAAGUAAAUAAAAAAAGAUGCUCAUGGACAGCAUUCGGCUCCCUGGGGCUAUGAUCCCGAAGUUUUCAUCUGACACGCCAUGGACCAUAUAAAAAGAAAGCUGACUCUAGGAAGUGCAGUCGAAAUCCCCACUCUCGUGUGCCCAAAUCGCUGCACUACCCUGUUUGUUUCAGGCAACAUGAAAACCUGCUUUUAAUUAAGAAGUGCAUCUAUUAAUUUCAAUAAAAAACUAACUGAAAAACA